rnacentral:rRNA from 1 species
UACGGAGGGGGCUAGCGUUGUUCGGAAUUACUGGGCGUAAAGCGCACGUAGGCGGCUUUGUAAGUUAGAGGUGAAAGCCCGGGGCUCAACUCCGGAAUUGCCUUUAAGACUGCAUCGCUAGAAUUGUGGAGAGGUAAGUGGAAUUCCGAGUGUAGAGGUGAAAUUCGUAGAUAUUGGGAGGAACACCAGUGGCGAAGGCGGCUCACUGGACCGGUACUGACGCUGAGACGCGAAAGCGUGGGGAGCGAACAGG